UUGCUCACUUUGGCAGCACAUAUACUAAAAUUGGAAAGAUACAGAGAAGAUUAUCAUGGCCCCUGCGCAAAGAAUGUGCUGUGGCGACAUGUCAUUAGGUGACUUUGA
ensembl:snRNA U6 U6 spliceosomal RNA